AGUGAACGCUGGCGGUAGGCCUAACACAUGCAAGUCGAACGGCAGCACAGUAAGAGCUUGCUCUUACGGGUGGCGAGUGGCGGACGGGUGAGGAAUACAUCGGAAUCUACUUUUUCGUGGGGGAUAACGUAGGGAAACUUACGCUAAUACCGCAUACGACCUACGGGUGAAAGCAGGGGAUCUUCGGACCUUGCGCGAUUGAAUGAGCCGAUGUCGGAUUAGCUAGUUGGCGGGGUAAAGGCCCACCAAGGCGACGAUCCGUAGCUGGUCUGAGAGGAUGAUCAGCCACCCUGGAACUGAGAAACGGUCCAGACUCCUACGGGAGGCAGCAGUAGGGAAUAUUGGACAAUGGGCGCAAGCCUGAUCCAGCCAUACCGCGUGGGUGAAGAAGGCCUUCGGGUUUUAAAGCCCUUUUGUUGGGAAAGAAAAGCAGCAGGUUAAUACCCCGCUGUUCUGACGGUACCCAAAGAAUAAGCACCGGCUAACUUCGUG
rnacentral:rRNA from 1 species